rnacentral:rRNA from 1 species
AUUCCAGCUCCAAUAGCGUAUAUUAAAGUUGUUGCAGUUAAAAAGCUCGUAGUUGGAUUUCUGGUGCAUUCCACUGGCCUAUUGGUUAACUCCAACUUGGCUCAUUUGGAAUACGCCAUCUUUAGGCAGACCCGUCGUGGCAUUAGGUUGUCGUGAUGGUUACGCCUAUCGUUUACUGUGAAGAAAUUAGGGUGUUCAAAGCAGGCUUAUGCCAUGAAUACGUUAGCAUGGAAUAAUGAGAUAGGAUUUCGGUACUAUUUUGUUGGUUUGUGUACGGAAAUAAUGAUUAACAGGAACAGUGUCGUGGGUAUUCGUAUUUCGUUGUCAGAGGUGAAAUUCUUGGAUUUACGAAAGACGAACGACUGCGAAAGCAUUUACCAAGGGUGUUUUCAUUG